rnacentral:rRNA from 1 species
GAUGAACGCUGGCGGCGUGCCUAAUACAUGCAAGUCGAGCGAACGGACGAGAAGCUUGCUUCUCUGAUGUUAGCGGCGGACGGGUGAGUAACACGUGGAUAACCUACCUAUAAGACUGGGAUAACUUCGGGAAACCGGAGCUAAUACCGGAUAAUAUUUUGAACCGCAUGGUUCAAAAGUGAAAGACGGUCUUGCUGUCACUUAUAGAUGGAUCCGCGCUGCAUUAGCUAGUUGGUAAGGUAACGGCUUACCAAGGCAACGAUGCAUAGCCGACCUGAGAGGGUGAUCGGCCACACUGGAACUGAGACACGGUCCAGACUCCUACGGGAGGCAGCAGUAGGGAAUCUUCCGCAAUGGGCGAAAGCCUGACGGAGCAACGCCGCGUGAGUGAUGAAGGUCUUCGGAUCGUAAAACUCUGUUAUUAGGGAAGAACAUAUGUGUAAGUAACUGUGCACAUCUUGACGGUACCUAAUCAGAAAGCCACGGCUAACUACGUGCCAGCAGCCGCGGUAAUACGUAGGUGGCAAGCGUUAUCCGGAAUUAUUGGGCGUAAAGCGCGCGUAGGCGGUUUUUUAAGUCUGAUGUGAAAGCCCACGGCUCAACCGUGGAGGGUCAUUGGAAACUGGAAAACUUGAGUGCAGAAGAGGAAAGUGGAGUUCCAUGUGUAGCGGUGAAAUGCGCAGAGAUAUGGAGGAACACCAGUGGCGAAGGCGACUUUCUGGUCUGUAACUGACGCUGAUGUGCGAAAGCGUGGGGAUCAAACAGGAUUAGAUACCCUGGUAGUCCACGCCGUAAACGAUGAGUGCUAAGUGUUAGGGGGUUUCCGCCCCUUAGUGCUGCAGCUAACGCAUUAAGCACUCCGCCUGGGGAGUACGACCGCAAGGUUGAAACUCAAAGGAAUUGACGGGGACCCGCACAAGCGGUGGAGCAUGUGGUUUAAUUCGAAGCAACGCGAAGAACCUUACCAAAUCUUGACAUCCUUUGACAACUCUAGAGAUAGAGCCUUCCCCUUCGGGGGACAAAGUGACAGGUGGUGCAUGGUUGUCGCCAGCUCGUGUCGUGAGAUGUUGGGUUAAGUCCCGCAACGAGCGCAACCCUUAAGCUUAGUUGCCAUCAUUAAGUUGGGCACUCUAAGUUGACUGCCGGUGACAAACCGGAGGAAGGUGGGGAUGACGUCAAAUCAUCAUGCCCCUUAUGAUUUGGGCUACACACGUGCUACAAUGGACAAUACAAAGGGCAGCGAAACCGCGAGGUCAAGCAAAUCCCAUAAAGUUGUUCUCAGUUCGGAUUGUAGUCUGCAACUCGACUACAUGAAGCUGGAAUCGCUAGUAAUCGUAGAUCAGCAUGCUACGGUGAAUACGUUCCCGGGUCU